rnacentral:rRNA from 1 species
GCCAGUUUCAACUGAAGAGUUUGAUCCUGGCUCAGAUUGAACGCUAACGGUAUGCUUAACACAUGCAAGUCGAGCGGCAGCAUGACCUGUAGCAAUACAGGUUGAUGGCGAGCGGCGGACGGGUGAGUAAUACGUAGGAAUCUGCCUUACAGUGGGGGAUAACCCGGGGAAACUCGGGCUAAUACCGCAUGAUCUCUCAGGAGCAAAGCGGGGGACUUUCGAGCCUCGUGCUGUAAGAUGAGCCUACGUCGGAUUAGCUAGUUGGUAGGGUAAAGGCCUACCAAGGCAACGAUCCGUAGCUGGUCUGAGAGGAUGAUCAGCCACACUGGGACUGAGACACGGCCCAGACUCCUACGGGAGGCAGCAGUGGGGAAUCUUGGACAAUGGGCGCAAGCCUGAUCCAGCAAUACCGUGUGUGUGAAGAAGGCCUUCGGGUUGUAAAGCACUUUCAGUGGGGAAGAAAAGCCUAAGACGAAUAGUCUUGGGGUUGACGUUACCCACAGAAGAAGCACUGGCUAACUCUGUGCCAGCAGCCGCGGUAAUACAGAGAGUGCGAGCGUUAAUCGGAAUUACUGGGCGUAAAGCGCGCGUAGG